rnacentral:rRNA from 1 species
UACGUAGGGACCAAGCGUUGUUCGGAUUUACUGGGCGUAAAGGGCGCGUAGGCGGCGUGGUAAGUCACUUGUGAAAUCUCUGAGCUUAACUCAGAACGGCCAAGUGAUACUGCUGUGCUCGAGUGUGGAAGGGGCAAUCGGAAUUCUUGGUGUAGCGGUGAAAUGCGUAGAUAUCAAGAGGAACACCUGAAGUGAAGACGGGUUGCUGGGCCAACACUGACGCUGAUGCGCGAAAGCUAGGGGAGCGAACGGG